rnacentral:rRNA from 1 species
AGCGAACGCUGGCGGCAGGCUUAACACAUGCAAGUCGAGCGGGCAUAGCAAUAUGUCAGCGGCAGACGGGUGAGUAACGCGUGGGAACGUACCUUUUGGUUCGGAACAACACAGGGAAACUUGUGCUAAUACCGGAUAAGCCCUUACGGGGAAAGAUUUAUCGCCGAAAGAUCGGCCCGCGUCUGAUUAGCUAGUUUGUGAGGUAAUGGCUCACCAAGGCGACGAUCAGUAGCUGGUCUGAGAGGAUGAUCAGCCACAUUGGGACUGAGACACGGCCCAAACUCCUACGGGAGGCAGCAGUGGGGAAUAUUGGACAAUGGGCGCAAGCCUGAUCCAGCCAUGCCACGUGAGUGAUGAAGGCCCUAGGGUUGUAAAGCUCUUUUGUGCGGGAAGAUAAUGACGGUACCGCAAGAAUAAGCCCCGGCUAACUUCGUGCCAGCCGCCGCGGUAA